AUACCCUUAUCUCUUUGGCCUCUAUUCCGGAGGUGUGGUGAUGUCUGUGUUCUUGCUUUACACCCUUAUCUCUUUGGCCUUAGCCCAGCUCCCCCCCCCCUCGCGCCGCAGAGCAGGCUGGGAAGUGUAGUCUCCAUGGACCCUGAGGCCGGGCAGAGGCUCGCUUGGCUCCCUGGGCGCAGGCGCCGGGGCGCGCUGCCGAGAGUCACUGGCUCCUGGCCCUGGGCAGGUCGCGCUGCCUCCUCGCGAAAGGCCGCUCGCCUCUUGGCUGCCACAGUAGCCCCUCCUCAGGGGGGCGGGUGGGGGGGUCGUGCCCGCCGGGAGGGAAGGAGCUGCCUGCGCUUUGUCCGGUGACGUGGAAUGGGGGGGCAGUCGCCAUGUUGAGAAGGUCUUCCUGAUUCCCCGCGCCUGCGCAGAUGGAGCUAAUGGGAGCGGGAGGAGUCCGGCGCCAUCUUGGAGGCGCCCCUCUUCCGUCUCCUUCUCCAUCCCGGCGGCGGUUCCCCGCCGGCCUUCCGUGAAGCCCCGGACCCGCAAGUGAGAAGAAGAGGGGAGGUUUCGGCGAUGGCAGGUGACGGCUAGGAGAGUGAGGAGGAAGGAAGGCCCCACCCAUGACUGUGCAGAGGGAUCAGACGGAAAAAGAGGGAACAACAGAAGGAAAACCUUAAGCAGAGGAGAAGAACAAGAAAAACAGGGGAAAGAAGUGAGAAAUGAACACAAAGGGGAAACCGCAUAAAUGCUUGGAGUGUGGAAAGAGCUUCAGUGCGAGUUCCCACCUCACUUCACAUCAAAGAACCCACACUGGAGAGAGACCAUAUAAAUGCUUGGAGUGUGAUAAGUGAUUCAGUGACAGUGCAAAACUUAGCAAACAUCAAAGAACCCACACCAGAGAGAAACCAUUUCUGUGCUUGGAGUGUGGAAAGAGCUUCAGUGACAAUGGAAACCUUACCAUACAUCAAAGAAUUCACACUGGUGAGAAACCAUAUCACUGCCUGGAGUGUGGAAAGCGCUUCAGUAGCAAUGGAUCACUUCUUGUGCAUCAAAGAAGCCACACUGGAGAGAGACCAUAUCAGUGCUUGGAGUGUGGAAGGAGCUUCAGUGGGAGUGACUACCUCAAUUUACAUCAAAUGACUCACACUGGAGAGAAACCUUUUAAAUGCUUGGAGUGUCGAAAGAGCUUCAGCACCAGUGGAAAUCUUAAUCGGCAUCAAAGAACCCACACUGUGUAGAAACCACAUCCGUGCUCAGAGAGUGGAAAGAGCUUCAGCCAGAACAGGGAUCCUACUAAACGUCAAAGUACCCACAGUGGAAAUGGGGAUUUCUGUUUUAGAAUUUCACUUGGAAGUAAAGGAACCAUUUGCAACUUGAAGGAUUUCAUUUUAAACAUUAGCCAUUUUAUUUUAUAAUGGCCAUAUAUGGUAAGCUUGAAUCAUAGUACAUUUGAAUCUGAAAGGAUCUUCUGCUUUCUGGGGGCAUCAUGUUGUUUUAGAUGUAUCCUUGAGUGAUUAAAACCCCUUGAGAGCAAUAAAAGUGAAAAGGAUUAA